rnacentral:rRNA from 1 species
AUAAGGGCGCACGGUGGAUGCCUUGGCACUAGGAGCCGAUGAAGGACGGGACUAACACCGAUAUGCUUUGGGGAGCUGUAAGUAAGCUAUGAUCCAGAGAUUUCCGAAUGGGGGAACCCAAUAUCUUUUAUAGGAUAUUACUUUUCAGUGAAUACAUAGCUGAUUAGAGGUAGACGCAGAGAACUGAAACAUCUUAGUACCUGCAGGAAGAGAAAGAAAAUUCGAUUCCCUGAGUAGCGGCGAGCGAAACGGGAAGAGCCCAAACCAACAAGCUUGCUUGUUGGGGUUGUAGGACUCCAAUAUGGUAGUCUGUUAGUAUAGUUGAAGGAUUUGGAAAAUUCCGCUAAAGAGGGUGAAAGCCCCGUAGACGAAAUGCUGACAACACCUAGGAGGAUCCUGAGUACGGCGGAACACGAGAAAUUCCGUCGGAAUCCGCGGGGACCAUCCCGCAAGGCUAAAUACUCCCUAGUGACCGAUAGUGAACCAGUACCGUGAGGGAAAGGUGAAAAGCACCCCGGAAGGGGAGUGAAAUAGAUCCUGAAACCGUGUGCCUACAACAAGUCAAAGCUCGUUAAUGAGUGAUGGCGUGCCUUUUGUAGAAUGAACCGGCGAGUUACGAUUGCAUGCGAGGUUAAGUCGAAGAGACGGAGCCGCAGCGAAAGCGAGUCUGAAUAGGGCGAAUGAGUAUGUAGUCGUAGACCCGAAACCAUGUGAUCUACCCAUGUCCAGGUUGAAGGUGCGGUAAAACGCACUGGAGGACCGAACCCACGUACGUUGAAAAGUGCGGGGAUGAGGUGUGGGUAGCGGAGAAAUUCCAAACGAACUUGGAGAUAGCUGGUUCUCUCCGAAAUAGCUUUAGGGCUAGCCUCGGAAUUGAGAAUGAUGGAGGUAGAGCACUGUUUGGACUAGGGGCCCAUCUCGGGUUACCGAAUUCAGAUAAACUCCGAAUGCCAUUCAUUUAUAUCCGGGAGUCAGACUGCGAGUGAUAAGAUCCGUAGUCGAAAGGGAAACAGCCCAGACCACCAGCUAAGGUCCCAAAAUAUAUGUUAAGUGGAAAAGGAUGUGGGGUUGCACAGACAACUAGGAUGUUGGCUUAGAAGCAGCCACCAUUUAAAGAGUGCGUAAUAGCUCACUAGUCGAGUGACCCUGCGCCGAAAAUGUACCGGGGCUAAACAUAUUACCGAAGCUGUGGACUACACCAUUAGGUGUAGUGGUAGGAGAGCGUUCUAAGGGCGUUGAAGGUCGAUCGUGAGGACGGCUGGAGCGCUUAGAAGUGAGAAUGCCGGUAUGAGUAGCGAAAGACAGGUGAGAAUCCUGUCCACCGUAUGACUAAGGUUUCCUGGGGAAGGCUCGUCCGCCCAGGGUUAGUCGGGACCUAAGCCGAGGCCGAUAGGCGUAGGCGAUGGACAACAGGUUGAUAUUCCUGUACCAGUUGUUUUUGUUUGAGCAAUGGAGGGACGCAGUAGGCUAAGGAAUGCAUGCGAUUGGAAGUGCAUGUCCAAGCAAUGAGUCUUGAGUAGAGUUAAAUGCUUUACUCUCUAAGGACAAGUUGUGACGGGGAGCGAAAUAAUAGUAGCGAAGUUCCUGAUGUCACACUGCCAAGAAAAGCUUCUAGUGAGAAAACAACUGCCCGUACCGUAAACCGACACAGGUAGUCGAGGAGAGUAUCCUAAGGUGAGCGAGCGAACUCUCGUUAAGGAACUCGGCAAAAUGACCCCGUAACU